rnacentral:rRNA from 1 species
UGGGGAAUUUUGGACAAUGGGGGCAACCCUGAUCCAGCAAUGCCGCGUGUGUGAAGAAGGCCUUCGGGUUGUAAAGCACUUUUGUCCGGAAAGAAAUCCCUUGCCCUAAUACGGCGGGGGGAUGACGGUACCGGAAGAAUAAGCACCGGCUAACUACGUGCCAGCAGCCGCGGUAAUACGUAGGGUGCGAGCGUUAAUCGGAAUUACUGGGCGUAAAGCGUGCGCAGGCGGUUUUGUAAGACAGGCGUGAAAUCCCCGAGCUCAACUUGGGAAUGGCGCUUGUGACUGCAAGGCUAGAGUAUGUCAGAGGGGGGUAGAAUUCCACGUGUAGCAGUGAAAUGCGUAGAGAUGUGGAGGAAUACCGAUGGCGAAGGCAGCCCCCUGGGACGUCACUGACGCUCAUGCACGAAAGCGUGGGGAGCAAACAGGAUUAGAUAUCCUGGUAGUCCACGCCCUAAACGAUGUCAACUAGUUUGUUGGGGAUUCAUUUCUUCAGUAACGUAGCUAACGCGUGAAGUUGACCGCCUGGGGAGUACGGUCGCAAGAUUA